UGGGGAAUAUUGCACAAUGGGCGCAAGCCUGAUGCAGCAACGCCGCGUGAGGGACGACGGCCUUCGGGUUGUAAACCUCUUUUAGUAGGGAAGAAGCGAAAGUGACGGUACCUGCAGAAAAAGCACCGGCUAACUACGUGCCAGCAGCCGCGGUAAUACGUAGGGUGCGAGCGUUGUCCGGAAUUAUUGGGCGUAAAGAGCUCGUAGGCGGUCUGUCGCGUCUGCUGUGAAAACCCGAGGCUCAACCUCGGGCCUGCAGUGGGUACGGGCAGACUAGAGUGCGGUAGGGGAGAAUGGAAUUCCUGGUGUAGCGGUGGAAUGCGCAGAUAUCAGGAGGAACACCGAUGGCGAAGGCAGUUCUCUGGGCCGUAACUGACGCUGAGGAGCGAAAGCGUGGGGAGCGAACAGGAUUAGAUACCCUGGUAGUCCACGCCGUAAACGUUGGGCGCUAGAUGUGGGGCACCAUUCCACGGUUUCCGUGUCGCAGCUAACGCAUUAAGCGCCCGCCUGGGGAGUACGGCCGCAAGGCUAAAA
rnacentral:rRNA from 1 species